UACGUAGGGGGCAAGCGUUGUCCGGAUUCAUUGGGCGUAAAGAGCGUGUAGGCGGCCAGGUAGGUCGGUUGUGAAAACUGGAGGCUCAACCUUCAGAGGUCGACCGAAACCAUCUGGCUAGAGUCCGGGAGAGGAGAGUGGAAUUCCUGGUGUAGCGGUGAAAUGCGUAGAUAUCUGGAGGAAUACCGGUGGCGAAGGCGGCAUCCUGGACCGACAUUGACGCUGAACGGCGAAAGCUAGGGGAGCAAACGGG
rnacentral:rRNA from 1 species